ACUAAGCGUACACGGUGGAUGCCCUGGCAGUCAGAGGCGAUGAAGGACGUGCUAAUCUGCGAUAAGCGUCGGUAAGGUGAUAUGAACCGUUAUAACCGGCGAUUUCCGAAUGGGGAAACCCAGUGUGUUUCGACACACUAUCAUUAACUGAAUCCAUAGGUUAAUGAGGCGAACCGGGGGAACUGAAACAUCUAAGUACCCCGAGGAAAAGAAAUCAACCGAGAUUCCCCCAGUAGCGGCGAGCGAACGGGGAGGAGCCCAGAGCCUGAAUCAGUGUGUGUGUUAGUGGAAGCGUCUGGAAAGGCGCGCGAUACAGGGUGACAGCCCCGUACACAAAAAUGCACAUGCUGUGAGCUCGAUGAGUAGGGCGGGACACGUGGUAUCCUGUCUGAAUAUGGGGGGACCAUCCUCCAAGGCUAAAUACUCCUGACUGACCGAUAGUGAACCAGUACCGUGAGGGAAAGGCGAAAAGAACCCCGGCGAGGGGAGUGAAAAAGAACCUGAAACCGUGUACGUACAAGCAGUGGGAGCCUCUUUUAUGGGGUGACUGCGUACCUUUUGUAUAAUGGGUCAGCGACUUAUAUUCUGUAGCAAGGUUAACCGAAUAGGGGAGCCGAAGGGAAACCGAGUCUUAACUGGGCGUUAAGUUGCAGGGUAUAGACCCGAAACCCGGUGAUCUAGCCAUGGGCAGGUUGAAGGUUGGGUAACACUAACUGGAGGACCGAACCGACUAAUGUUGAAAAAUUAGCGGAUGACUUGUGGCUGGGGGUGAAAGGCCAAUCAAACCGGGAGAUAGCUGGUUCUCCCCGAAAGCUAUUUAGGUAGCGCCUCGUGAAUUCAUCUCCGGGGGUAGAGCACUGUUUCGGCAAGGGGGUCAUCCCGACUUACCAACCCGAUGCAAACUGCGAAUACCGGAGAAUGUUAUCACGGGAGACACACGGCGGGUGCUAACGUCCGUCGUGAAGAGGGAAACAACCCAGACCGCCAGCUAAGGUCCCAAAGUCAUGGUUAAGUGGGAAACGAUGUGGGAAGGCCCAGACAGCCAGGAUGUUGGCUUAGAAGCAGCCAUCAUUUAAAGAAAGCGUAAUAGCUCACUGGUCGAGUCGGCCUGCGCGGAAGAUGUAACGGGGCUAAACCAUGCACCGAAGCUGCGGCAGCGACGCUUAUGCGUUGUUGGGUAGGGGAGCGUUCUGUAAGCCUGUGAAGGUGUGCUGUGAGGCAUGCUGGAGGUAUCAGAAGUGCGAAUGCUGACAUAAGUAACGAUAAAGCGGGUGAAAAGCCCGCUCGCCGGAAGACCAAGGGUUCCUGUCCAACGUUAAUCGGGGCAGGGUGAGUCGACCCCUAAGGCGAGGCCGAAAGGCGUAGUCGAUGGGAAACAGGUUAAUAUUCCUGUACUUGGUGUUACUGCGAAGGGGGGACGGAGAAGGCUAUGUUGGCCGGGCGACGGUUGUCCCGGUUUAAGCGUGUAGGCUGGUUUUCCAGGCAAAUCCGGAAAAUCAAGGCUGAGGCGUGAUGACGAGGCACUACGGUGCUGAAGCAACAAAUGCCCUGCUUCCAGGAAAAGCCUCUAAGCAUCAGGUAACAUCAAAUCGUACCCCAAACCGACACAGGUGGUCAGGUAGAGAAUACCAAGGCGCUUGAGAGAACUCGGGUGAAGGAACUAGGCAAAAUGGUGCCGUAACUUCGGGAGAAGGCACGCUGAUAUGUAGGUGAAGCGACUUGCUCGUGGAGCUGAAAUCAGUCGAAGAUACCAGCUGGCUGCAACUGUUUAUUAAAAACACAGCACUGUGCAAACACGAAAGUGGACGUAUACGGUGUGACGCCUGCCCGGUGCCGGAAGGUUAAUUGAUGGGGUUAGCGCAAGCGAAGCUCUUGAUCGAAGCCCCGGUAAACGGCGGCCGUAACUAUAACGGUCCUAAGGUAGCGAAAUUCCUUGUCGGGUAAGUUCCGACCUGCACGAAUGGCGUAAUGAUGGCCAGGCUGUCUCCACCCGAGACUCAGUGAAAUUGAACUCGCUGUGAAGAUGCAGUGUACCCGCGGCAAGACGGAAAGACCCCGUGAACCUUUACUAUAGCUUGACACUGAACAUUGAGCCUUGAUGUGUAGGAUAGGUGGGAGGCUUUGAAGUGUGGACGCCAGUCUGCAUGGAGCCGACCUUGAAAUACCACCCUUUAAUGUUUGAUGUUCUAACGUUGACCCGUGAUCCGGGUUGCGGACAGUGUCUGGUGGGUAGUUUGACUGGGGCGGUCUCCUCCUAAAGAGUAACGGAGGAGCACGAAGGUUGGCUAAUCCUGGUCGGACAUCAGGAGGUUAGUGCAAUGGCAUAAGCCAGCUUGACUGCGAGCGUGACGGCGCGAGCAGGUGCGAAAGCAGGUCAUAGUGAUCCGGUGGUUCUGAAUGGAAGGGCCAUCGCUCAACGGAUAAAAGGUACUCCGGGGAUAACAGGCUGAUACCGCCCAAGAGUUCAUAUCGACGGCGGUGUUUGGCACCUCGAUGUCGGCUCAUCACAUCCUGGGGCUGAAGUAGGUCCCAAGGGUAUGGCUGUUCGCCAUUUAAAGUGGUACGCGAGCUGGGUUUAGAACGUCGUGAGACAGUUCGGUCCCUAUCUGCCGUGGGCGCUGGAGAACUGAGGGGGGCUGCUCCUAGUACGAGAGGACCGGAGUGGACGCAUCACUGGUGUUCGGGUUGUCAUGCCAAUGGCACUGCCCGGUAGCUAAAUGCGGAAGAGAUAAGUGCUGAAAGCAUCUAAGCACGAAACUUGCCCCGAGAUGAGUUCUCCCUGACUCCUUGAGAGUCCUGAAGGAACGUUGAAGACGACGACGUUGAUAGGCCGGGUGUGUAAGCGCAGCGAUGCGUUGAGCUAACCGGUACUAAUGAACCGUGAGGCUUAACC
rnacentral:rRNA from 1 species